UCGAAUGAGUGAACAAAAAUUUUUUUUCACAACAAUUUUAAUCAGUAAAGUUAUCUCAAAUUUGUCAUGAAGUUAGUUUUUUCCUGCAGUGUUAAAUUUUUUCUAGAUUUAAAUAGUAUUUGUUACGUUCCUAUGGCAAUUCCUAUUCUGAAACUCGUCUUUAAGCAAUCAUUAUGAUUUUCGUUGUAAUCGUUGGACGUGCAAUAUGGCGGUAAACUCGGUCGUCGCGAAAAAACGAGCGGGCUUACGCGCGCACGUAUGCAAUCUGCCUAGGACGUCCGGCAGCACUUUGCCGAAAUUACCACCGAACGCGAAAUUCUACAGCCGCUGGAAACGGAGUCUUCAAAAGCUAGUGCUUGUCUCAGCUCGGCAUCCUUUAACGCGAUUGAUCUUACGCAGCCAGGCGGCUGUUGCCUUUGAAAAGCGAAGACAGUCGAGAUCACCUCAUCGAUGGAUGAUUCAUCCAUGCAGUAUGUUAAGAUUCUACUGGGACAUAUUAAUGACUGCCAUCUUUUUGUACAUCUUCGUGAUGGUUCCACAUAUCACAUGCUUCUACAGAAUCGGGAGAAGUAGCGGUCCUGAACGCUGGAAUAUUAUUUAUCCCACCUAUGCCGUUUGCAUUGUCGAUAUAUUUCUGAAUUUCUUCACCGGAUUUGUGUCCUUGGAUGGAUACGAGAUUGUUCUUGAUGUUACUUUAAUAAUGAGACAUUAUGUGAAAGGCUAUUUCUUCGUUGAUUUUGUCAGCUCACUGCCAUAUCUGUGGUUUUACCCGACACGUAUUUUACCGCCUGGUCCUGAUUCGAACUCUGUGUUGUUAAUCGUUGAAUUUCUGCCUAUUUUGAAAAUAUUUCGCAUACCCACAGUACGACGCAAUCUUCAACUAAUCAAUGAAAAUUUUAGGAUUCCUCAAACGCAAGAGACAACAAUAUGGUUCGUUAUCCUAACAUUACUCAUUUUUCACUGGAGUAGUUGUGUAAGUUAUGUCUUCCCAUACAUCGUCUUGCAUAUACAAGGUGAACCGAUAGAGAGUUCAAACGCAUAUUAUAGAUCAAUGAAUUUUUAUGAUGAACCUGAUUGGAAAGUAUACUUGAUAUUCUUGCACAUCGGAGUGAGUAAUUUGAUCGGCUCCAAUUUCGUCGAAUUUAAAAACUUCGGAAUUUUGGAUACAGCGAUACGAUGCAUACUUCUGCUGUUGGGGAAAGGCUACAUGAUCUAUCUGAUCGUUACAAUUCUGCAACUUUUGGAAUCGUCGGCAGAGCCCGAUCUCAAAUAUCAACGAAUUAUACAUCAAGUAAAGGAGUAUAUUUGUCAAAAAAGUCUUCCGCGUUAUUUGCAAGACAAGUUGAUCACGUAUUAUGAAUAUCGUUACCAAGGCAGUUCGUUGAAGGAGAACCUUAUAUCCGACACUCUUUCAAAUUCCUUUAAAUCAGUGAUAUAUCUCCAAGGUGAUGUAAUUUACAAAGCUGGGACUGAAAGCGAUUGCAUGUAUUUCAUAGCCAACGGAACUGUUGCAUUGAUCACAUUUGCUGGAAAGGAGAUUUGUCACUUGUACGAUGGUGAUCAUUUCGGGGAAGCUGGUCUGAUUUAUCUAAAUCAGCGUAGAACGGAAUCAGUCAUCGCCCUCGAAGUAUGCGAGUUAUUUCGUUUGCAUCGUCGCGAUUUCAAGCGUCUUUUUACCGCAGAUUUGGAAUUUUAUUGCACUUUGGAAAAUAGAGCGCAAGAACGUUUGCAAAAAAUUAAGGAAUUGGAAGAGGAAAACUUAGAUAAAACGAAUAAUGGACGUGCAGGCAUGUUGGGUCAUGGAUAGUGAUCCUUUCCGUCUAAUAUUUUAGUCUGCGAUUUACUCUGAGAUUAGCUUCUACGAAAAUGCUUCCUCGAUUCGACCUUGAUGUCUGCGGCGGAUUACAGUGUGGAGAAAUCGUUGUGUCAAGAGAGAGAGAUGCGAUGUGUAUGGCUAUGCAUGCGCGCCUGAUUCACGAACGCGCGACGAGAGAGGGGCAUGUAGCUUCAUUGCGUAACAGUCUGUUGUUUCAUGCUGCAGAAAACCAUUGCGUCGUCGUUGAUGCAACUCUCAAAAAUACCUAUGAUUUAACUUCCACAUGUGCCUAGCGGUUGAACAAUCACUCAGUGCGUAAUAGUCGGAAGAAGCUGUGAAGUGACACUUGAACAAAGACAUCAUCGGGCUUAGCAUCCGACAAAAUUCAGAUUGAUAAGAAU
rnacentral:misc_RNA from 1 species